rnacentral:lncRNA from 1 species
GUUGCUUCAUUCAUUAAUUGAAUCAAACAAGCUUGUUCCAAUAGGACAACCUGUGAAGAGUGAAAGAUUUUAUCACGUGUUUAACAAGUGAAAAGUGUGAUCAAGAUCCAGCUCAAACAACGAGAGUAGCCUCUUAUAAAAUAAUUAAUUAAGGUGAAAUAAAAAUUAUGUACAGUAAAUUAUACGGUCAUAUGUAAAAUAUAUUAUAUUAUUAAAAAAAAUCUGAAGUAACAAUCUCGACAAACUAAUCCAACUCAAUUGCUAAGUACAUAAUUACACAAUUCAAUGCCGAGCCUCCAAAGUUGAAAAUCCACCGCUAAAGUAACAAAGAAAUGAAUACUAUAAAGUUGAUUUAUGCCUUCUCCUCGAAUGCAUAAUAGAUUGAGAAAAAUUCCCAAUAUGUACAAUUUAUUUAUUAAACCCUUAUCAUUUCUUAAUAUGCUACAUACACUUGUGGUGGCCAUUAGACCAUAAUAAUGAAGAAAAUUAAGCUAAAAUCUUCAUUUAUUUUGUGUGCUUGCUUUGAUGACCAUUAUCCCGAACGUACCUACCUCCUCCAGAUACUACACAUACCUUUGAUUAUUUGUUGCCUCAAAAUGAUUCUUGAUGUCAUCGAUGAAUUAAAUUGAUUUAUUAUAAAAUUACAUGAUGUGUUACUUUUUCUAAGAAGUCAUAUAAUGUUUAUUUUGACCCAUUUGGUAUAGCAUGUUGGCUAUGUUUUUAAAGUUUCAUUAUACAUAGUGACCACUUUAAGAUGAUAUUUAAUUGUAUCCUUUCUAUUUUGUUUUGUUUCCUAUAAAUUAGAAUGUUAAAAUCAAAAAAUCACAAGAAUUUAUUUUUAUAAAGUCGUGUAUUUGUUUAUUUGACAAAUUUGAUAUAGUGCAUGUCUUGCUUAUCAGUAAGUUACAAGGCCCUUGUUUGAGCCCCAUUUUGUAGGAAGGAAUAUUGAUAAAAAAUGUGUGGUUAAAAAUUAAAGAAAAAUUUUGAAUUUGCAUGUAAUAUUAUUUUAUUGAAAAAUGUGUGAUUGAAAUGAUGCUAAAACACCGUUGAAAUUUUCAUUUUAUGCAAAGAAUGGGGCUCAAACAAGGGCAAGAUCAUAAAAUUCACUUGGCUCGACGCCAUAUUAAGAGCAACCUUCAGAGCCUUUAAAAAUUGAAUAACACUAUUUAGUCCUAUUGGGUGAUAACAUCAAUCUAUAUGGUGUUUAAUUAUAGGCUAAAUAAAAAAUGAAAUUAAAUGACAUAUUUAAUUUCAAUCAUUGUUUAACAUGACAUUAGCGUCAAUAUUAUAAUCCCAUUAGGGCUAAAUAACAUUACUCCUAAUAUUAGAAAAUCUAAUAAUUUGUUAUUUUAGGCUUUUUAUCUUCUCAUUCCUAUUUUGGAAUUAUCUAUUUCAGCUUAUUUAUGAGCUACUUUUUCACUCUUAGGAGGGUUCUAGGUACCUUUUUUAAGUAUUCAUGACAAACUUUGUAUCACCACAUCUUUCAAAUUCAAAUACCAUUAAACUCAAUGAGUUCAAUACAAGAAGUAAAAAUUAUGGCUAGAAUUGGAUUUAAUUAUCCAAUUUAUCUCUUAAUUCCUUUUUUGACAUCAACUCUUUUGCCUUACUUUUUGCUAUAAUUUUUCAUUCAUCGGAGUAGAUUCUUGGUAUCAUUUCGAAGUAUUCGCGCUAAAUUCGUAAUGUAUUUAUGGGAUUGAAAAACUUUAAUGAUGAGUUCAAAAUACAAACCAAAAGAUGACGCCUAGAAUUAAUGAUAUUAAAAUCUAUUUAACGUCAAAUUGACUCGGCUUACUCAUGUGAUUAAAUAUAUAAGAAUAAUAAAAUUUAUCAUACGGGAGAAUAAAAGAAAUCCGAUUCAUGAAAUUAAGUUCAGCGAAAAUAAAUAAAUGAAUAAGUAAAAAAGUUAAAAGAAAAUAAAGGCCAAUCAAUAUUAAUAAUAAUGUCAUGGUGCACACCAAUUCAUCUUUCAUUAUCAUUGACAAUCUACCCAAUUUUUUUCCUUAAAUUUCUCUCAACAUCAUCACAGUUUUUAGCCAAUAUAUAAUACAGUUUAAGACAAACAGAUUAAUAACCACAAAAAUUAAGCUUUUUUCUUAUCAUUUUUCUUACAACAUAUUUUACUCAUCUAUGAGCAGUAAUCAGUGUCUCUAUGAACCUUAAUCCAUCAAAUCUUGGCGCAAAUUUAUUGGAACAAGAAGAAGAAGACGGCCUCUGCGAUGUUGAAUUCUCCCUAUUUCUUCUCAUAAUCGCAUCCUAUAAAUUACAGAAAAAAUCGUCAAAAUUCAACGUAAAGCUAGAUCUCAAAAUAAUUAGUUUUCUCGGUUAGAAAAUAGGUUUCAAAUUUAGGGGUUUUGUGAUAUUGGUAAAAGUUGAUAAUAUAUCUUUGGUGCCAUGAAAUGUGGUGAAAAAGUGGAAAAAAGUUGUGAAUCCAAUGAAAUUUGUAUCUAAAAAUGAAAUUUAACCAAUUUUUUAACCAAUAAAAGCUUUAUCCAAUAAACAUUUAAUUGAAAAAGGAGAAGAAAAAGACGAGGGAAAUGAUUUUACCUCGUGCAGAGAGUGAAUUUUGGAAGUCGAGGAAGCGGAAAUGGCGGAAGCAGAAGCGGCCACUGAGGCUGCUAAGAGGCCUGAUAUCUUCAUUACGAAGGAAAAUAUUUUCCUUCUUAAUCAGAAAUCUUAGGUGAAAUUCUGGGGAAGGGAAUUUGGUUUUCUUGGGGAAAGUAUGGAAAGGAAAAUGUUGGGCGAGGAGUGGGUCGUUUAUAUAGGAAAAAAAGUGCUUGCC